rnacentral:rRNA from 1 species
AGUCGAUUUCUGCCCAUUGAAAAUAUUUUUAAAAGGCUGCGGUAUAUUAACUGUACAAAGGUAGCAAAAUAAAUAGUUUUUUAAUUGAAAACUUGAAUGAAAGAGUUGAUAAAAUAUAAAUUGUCUUAAAUUAAUUAUAUUGAAUUUAAAUUAAAAGUUAAAAUGCUUUUAUAUUUUUAUUAGACGAUAAGACCCUAAGAAUUUUAUUAUUUAUUUUUUUUUAAUUUUUAUUAUAAAUUUAUAAAAGAAUGAGUAAUUUUAUUGGGAGGGUAAAUAAAUUUUGAACUUUAAUUUAUCUUAAAUAUUUUUUGAUAAAAUUUUAAUGAUUAUUAUUAAGAUUAUAAGAAUUAAUUACCUUAGGGAUAACAGCGUAAUAAUUUUGGAGAGUUCAUAUUGAUAAAAUUGUUUGCGACCUCGAUGUUGAAUUAAAAUAAAAAUUGAAUGGAGAAAUUCAAAUUUUUAGUCUGUUCGACUAUUAAAAUUUUAC